CCUACGGGAGGCAGCAGUGAGGAAUAUUGGGCAAUGGGCGAAAGCCUGACCCAGCGACGCCGCGUGUGGGAUGAAGGCCUUCGGGUCGUAAACCGCUUUUGUCGGGGAAGAAGAGAUGACGGUACCCGGCGAAUAAGCCUCGGCUAACUACGUGCCAGCAGCCGCGGUAAGACGUAGGAGGCAAGCGUUGUCCGGAUUUACUGGGCGUAAAGCGCAUGUAGGCGGCUCAGCAAGUCAAUGGUUAAAUCUCUUGGCUCAACCGAGAGGGGCCCUAUGAUACUGUUGGGCUUGAGGGCAGCAGGGGGAAGUGAAAUUCCCGGUGUAGUGGUAAAAUACGUAGAUAUCGGGAGGAACAC
rnacentral:rRNA from 1 species